UGUGGUUCUGAGCACGGCGCCUGCUGUCCGUUCGAUACUACGCUGUUCUCAGUGUGAAGACAACUGUACCAGGAGGGAGAUCGACCAGUCGGCGAAGGUUCUCUUCAGCAAUGCCGCGAGUUCUUUCAUCGGGAAGGAUGAAAUCAACCGCUCAUUGGCCCCAUGGACAUACAAGAAAAACACUAAUUACACUAGAUUACCGGAGACUAUCUGGACUGCCAGUUGCAACCAUAGGUUUUGCCGGAACGACAAGCUGUUAGUUUUCAAGCCCCACCUGCGCGUGCUGGACAUCAAAUACAACAUCAGGGUCUACUACACAGAGCCCUGCCGAACCGCGAGUCACUACAGGCUGGUCCCAGAGACGUUCAGCGUUACUGUGGGCUGCACGUGCAUUGCAACACGCGCUUCCUAAGAGUUUGCUCCUCCUUAACGGCUACAUCUGUCACAUACAUACUACAUGUGUGCUACAAUGAAUAUUAUAUAUUUCAUGUAAAAAAAUGUCAAAGUAUGGUAUUUUGAAAUAUCUGAAAAUGGGAUAAACAUAAAGACAUAAACUUCCCAGUACAUACACUGUGUGUAUGGCCAACAGUAAUCUUUCUCAAGAAAGAGAGAAAAAAUCGCAAGGCACUCAAUCUCCAGAUUAGCAGUGUAAAAAGCCUUUAUUAUUUUGGGUAAACCCAACACGUAUCGGCAGUAAAUGCCUUCAUCAGGGGAUUUGUUAGUAAUCCUUCUCAGUUUUGAGAUCUGGAAACAGAAAAAUAGGAAAAAUACACUUAUAGUGAUUUUCCUGGUUAAUAGCUUUCAGUUUCUCCAUAAACAACACACUUAGGCUAUAUUUAGAUUUUUAAAAAACCCAGCCUUCAGUGUGUUAAAUUGUAUCGCUGUUUUUAUUUUUGUGGUUUUUAUUGUAUUACAUGCCAUUUUUAAUUGUCUCACUCCUUUAUGGUCUGUCCACCAAUUGAAAAAUGCAUAAAUUAUUGUUGGCCUA